rnacentral:tRNA from 31 species
GCCGCAAUAGCUCAGCUGGUAGAGCACGUCAUUCGUAAUGACGGGGUCGGGGGUUCGAAUCCCUCUUGCGGCACCA